UACGUAGGGGGCAAGCGUUGUCCGGAAUCAUUGGGCGUAAAGCGCGUGUAGGCGGCCCGGUAAGUCCGCUGUGAAAGUCCGGGGCUCAACCCUGGAAUGCCGCUGGAAACUGUCUGGCUUGAGUCCGGAAGGGGCGAGUGGAAUUCCUGGUGUAGCGGUGAAAUGCGCAGAUAUCAGGAGGAACACCAAUGGCGAAGGCAGCUCGCUGGAACGGUACUGACGCUGAGGCGCGAAAGCGUGGGGAGCAAACAGG
rnacentral:rRNA from 1 species